rnacentral:rRNA from 1 species
AGCUUUUGACAUGGGGAGUAUGAGAACCAGAGAUGGUUUUCUUCAGUUCGGCUGGCUUCCACAC